UGUGUGUGUGUAUAUAUGGAUCCCUUUGAACUAUAGUCAUAUUGUCUGGGUUUCAGUUAAAAGUAAUCAUUUUAGAGAGCUGGGGCAAGAAAAUGGCUUCAUUUCACUCAUAUUUCUUAACCUUAAUCUACUAUGAUGUGAACAUGGAAAAAUGCUCUCAAGGAAUUCUUAAUAUAGUUUGGCUAUGACAUUUGAUUUAUGUCAUUUUAGGAAAGGAUUUUGGGGUGCCCCAGAUUGUAGACUUGAUGCAACUACUACUUCUAAUUGAAAUAACUGAAAUUUUUCUGUACCUAAAAUAUUAUUAUGCUACUAAGAAUAUUAUGUGUUAACAUAUAUAUUAAAACAUAUCCACCAUAAAUUGGGGGACAUGAGAGAUACUUUCCUUGAUAUCUGUCUCCUCUUUCUAUUUGGGUUUGCUUUCAUGCUCCCCCCCACCACCUUUAUUUCUCCUUUUCUACAUAAAAAAAAUCUAUAGAGUAACAAAAAUGUAGUGAGAUUUCUGUUGGAAUACUGCAGAUUUCUGAAGCAAGUUGGAGUAAUACCUCUUUUUCUUGAUUGGUCUCCUGUUCCUAGUCACAUCAUUUCAAACUACAUUGAAAACUUCAGCCAUUCAGGAGAUGAUUCCAAUAAUCAAGUGUUGUUAUUUAGCUGAGCUCAAACCACACAUAUUCUCUGGACCAAUGGAAACUAUGAUAUAUGUAGAAGAUGACCAUGCUAUUUCUGUCUGGAAGGAGCUGCAAGCUGGGAGUCUCUGAGAGGGUGGCAAAGCUGUGGACAGUGGCCCAUGAGGGUCAUGUAGUUCAAAACAAUGGUUAUAGGGUUGUGCGAUCACAUCGAUCUAAGAUGGCGACUGUGGAACUGGAAACCACCCCUACUCCUAAUCCCCCACCUACAGUAGAAGAAGAGAAAACAGAAUCUAACCAGGAGGUUGCUAACCCAGAACACUAUAUUAAACAUCCUUUGCAGAACAGAUGGGCACUCUGGUUUUUUAAAAAUGAUAAAAGCAAAACCUGGCAAGCAAACCUUCGGCUGAUCUCUGAGUUUGAUACUGUUGAAGACUUUUGGGCUCUGUACAACCACAUCCAGCUGUUUAGUAAUUUAAUGCCUGGCUGUGACUACUCACUCUUUAAGGAUGGUAUUAAGCCUAUGUGGGAAGAUGAGAAAAACAAACGAGGAGGACGAUGGCUAAUUACAUUGAACAAACAGCAGAGACAAAGUGACCUCAAUUGCUUUUGGCUAGAGACACUGCUGUGCCUUAUUGGAGAAUCUUUUGAUGACUACAGUGAUGAUGUAUAUGGAGCUGUUGUUAAUGUUAGAGCUAAAGGUGAUAAGAUAGCAAUAUGGACUACUGAAUGUGAAAACAGAGAAUCUGUUACACAUAUAGGGAGGGUAUACAAGGAAAGGUUAGAACUUCCUCCAAAGAUAGUGAUUGGUUAUCAGUCCCAUGCAGACACAGCUACUAAGAGCGGCUCCACCACUAAAAAUAGGUUUGUUGUUUAAGAAGACACCUUCUGAGUAUUUUCAUAGGAGACUGCGUCAAGCAAUCGAGAUUUGGGAGCUGAACCAAAGCCUCUUCAAAAGCAGAGUGGACUGCACUUAAAUUUGAUUUCCAUCUAAAUGUUGCAAAGAUAUAAGAGAAGUCUCAUUCGCCUUUGUCUUGUACUUCCAUGUUCAUCCUUUUUUUUCUUUCCUUUUUCCCCUAGAGUGUCCACUUACCCAAUCAAAGAAUGACAGUACACAUCAUCCCCAGGAUCCAUAAAUGUGUUUCUGGCCCAUUCUGUAAUAGCUAGAAGAAUUACUAUUACAAACACAUUUUACCCAUCCACAAUAUU